rnacentral:rRNA from 1 species
UGGGGAAUAUUAGGCAAUGGGGGAAACCCUGACCUAGCAACGCCGCGUGAAGGAUGAAGGUUUUCGGAUUGUAAACUUCUUUUAUCAGGGACGAAGAAAGUGACGGUACCUGAUGAAUAAGCCACGGCUAACUACGUGCCAGCAGCCGCGGUAAUACGUAGGUGGCGAGCGUUGUCCGGAAUUACUGGGUGUAAAGGGCGCGUAGGCGGGACUAUAAGUCUGAUGUGAAAUACCCGGGCUCAACCCGGGGGGGUCAUUGGAAACUGUAGUUCUUGAGUGAUGGAGAGGCAGGCGGAAUUCCCGGUGUAGCGGUGGAAUGCGUAGAUAUCGGGAGGAACACCAGUGGCGAAGGCGGCCUGCUGGACAUUAACUGACGCUGAGGCGCGAAAGCGUGGGGAGCAAACAGGAUUAGAUACCCCCGUAGUCC